AGAUGGAGAAACUGAGGUGCUAAAUGAAUGUGCGCAAACUUGCAGGAUCCUAAGUGAAGGAGACAAGAUGUGAACCUAGACAUGUGGCCCCAAGGCUGAAGCAGUGAGUCGCUGAACUGCAGUUAUCAUGCCGAGAAGGGUGGCUUUCAACCCUGCCAUGAGUUAUAAGCAUAGGUGGCUCCCUCACUCAUGUGUGUCCUAGAUUUCUGUGAGUCUGCAGACAUCCCAGGCACUGGCUGUGAUUACAGGGUGGCCACAGUAAUCACAUAGCUUAGGGCAGACAUCAGUGAAUGUAACUGUAUCACUGGGCAUAGCCAUUGGUGUGGGCAGUACAGAGAGGGCCCAGAUACUUCUCAUGCCAUGGCCAGGUCACAAGUUCUGGUCACUGGGAAGCAGCACUGAGAGACUUUCAUGAACUUCUUUCAGUGCUGAGGACACUCCUCAGCAGUUGGCCCCAAACAGGUAAGACUGAAGAAAUAUUUUUGUAACAGUAGAGUGUAUUAUCACCAAAAGACAUAGGAGUGAUCAAAUCCUGCAAGCUACACAUAAGGCACAAUGACAAAUAAGGCAGCAAAGGGCCAUUUGGUGAUUAGUUCACCAAACUUGUUGCAACUGUUUGUACUGCAGAGUUAAAACAUACCAGUAUUCAACCCACAUCUCCUCUCCUGAAAUAAACUGUCCAACAUCAGCUGGCCAGAACAAGCACAGAUAUUCUUCAAACUCAACUAAUAUGCAUACAUGACAAAGAAAAGGCGGUCUGGAUGAAAAAAUAGUGGGUUAUUAAUAAUGGUUAUUUUAAAGGAUAUAAUUUCAGUGUUUCUAAUUCUGUCAUUGGUUAUAACAAAGGAUUAGUGAAUAAAUACAAUAGACUGUUUUGCCUGGAAUUUAAUCCAAUCUGUCUAUUAAACUUUGCUUUUAUUCAAGUGCAAAAUCCUAAAACACAUAAUAACUGCAGUGACAGCCAAUGUGGAUCCAUUGACAUAAAAAUGGUCUUGGGACAUAAAUCUUACAAGCUAAUAUUGUUUUACGGGGUUUAGAAAACCAUUUAGCUGGGUUUCAAAACCAGCAGUGUGAGUAAUGGGAUUCUCAUCAGAUUACAGCAUGUACUUCAGUACUGUUUGUAGACUGACUUAUUCUUGUUGCGUUAGGUUGCCAUUAGCAAAAUGCCAGGGACUCAGUUUCUCACUCCUUUCAUGCUCCUCUUUCUUGCCUGUCUUUUCAUGAGGAAAAAUUUUCUAGCGCAGUCCAAGCUGUGCUUUUAACCAAACACAUCCACACACACUGUCCUAUUGUCUACAUUCAGCAGAGCUCCCUGGAUAAAUCAUGAACAGAAGCAUCUAUGACCGACUGUUGCUCUGUGUCCUUCUAGCCUCUCAGUAGUUUCCAGCUCAUGAGGGCAGAGGAGAUGAAGAGAGGCCGAUCGACGUGAGGGUCGUGCAGGUGGCCCCUCUGAGGUGUGACUCCAAUAAGUACUCUGGAAUUACUUGCUGAGAAAGAAAAGUCUGGAUGUCAAGAAAGGUGUGACAUCCUUGCUGGCUUCAAUGUGAAGAGCCACCCUGAUUCUGGGAUUCUGAUAGGAAUAAGGUAGAUGAUGCAUAUCUGAACCUGGAAACCGCUUCCCACUGUAGAGCGUGUCUGAGUCAUGUCCCUUAGCUUCAGCAGAGCAGAUCCAGCAGGCUCUGAGCUUGGCCUCUUUGCCUGAAGCGAGACCUCUAGGUAAUGUCUCCAGGGAGGGUGGCACAAAGGAUCCUGGAUCUCCUGAUCACAGCAGCCCGAGAGUGCCGUGCGUGCACCAUGGCUCAAGAAGAAGACUUAAAAAGGGGAAACUCCUCCUGAGGGUGCUGUAGGAGACAUCUGCAAAAAAGAAGAUGCUGGCAAUAUGCCAUCAACCUCAGAGGGGAGUAUUUACCUUGAAAUGGCUCACUUCCUGAGGAACAAACUUGCUGGAUCUAGUGUACGGAAACCUGAUUCUGGGUUCCUUUCGGAAGGAGCAUUAUGGGCCUGUGUGGGUGCUGGAGAGCAUAACUGAUGAGGAGGACUCUCCAGCUCCUGGAACACUUCAUAUCACCAGCACCCUCUACCCAAGGUCCUGGAGCCAACACUGGAGUAAAAGAGCACAAGAGAGCUCCUUAGAGGUGGAAGGUAUUGUACAGCACUGCCUAUGAGGCAUGGAGGAGUCUCACAUGAAGGCCGCCUGCAUCCUGGGGGAGUUCCUGAAGCUGCUGCCCAUGUUUCUCACAGGGAGGCCAGGGAAGAUCAGCCCCAUUCUGUACACAGGCAAGCCAUGAACUGAGGACAUCCCUUUCAGGUGGCUGGAAGUUGCAGAGGUUUCAGAAGCUCAUCCAAGAUUCUGGAGCCCCCAUCUCCAGCCCUAAUGCUGUCCGCCUUUUCACCCAGCCACCACCUGUUUCAGGAGAACACACAGAAGUGAUGACCUUUUCUGGACAGGAUACCCUCUGAGGUCAAAUCACUGGGCUUGUGGCCAUGAGACCACAGACUUUGCCUGGCUUCCAGUGACUGUCGGAGAUGACCUGUGGAGUGCACCGCCUGUACUUGGACAUCACUGUCUUUUCGGAUCCAUACCUGUCAUCCUUGGAAUUUCCCCUGUAUCCAAACCUGUUCCUGAUACAGAUAACCCUAAGGAAUAUCUUGGAUGUCUUCACGGGGCUUAUGACUUAUUCUGAGGUUUGCAAAAUAGAGGCCCCCAGCUGAGCAAAGACAGGGCUGCAGCGCCGAGGGAACAGCUGCCGGACCCACCGGAGAGGCCUCCUGGAGCAUGCCAGGACCCCCUCCACCCCCUGGCUUUGGCUGCAUCCAUGGCUAGUUUGCCUGAACUAUAUCUGAGCCACUGAGAGUAUUUAUUAAGCAGAGAAUAAUUUUGAGUUUCACUUUUAUAACUUUUGUUUCAAAAGUUGUUUUGGAUAAUUUAAUGAAAUGACUGUAAACCAGAAUUCCCCUUUUCAUUAUUUCUUUGUGUCGAUAUAAAAAGAGUUGAUGAUUUUAAAAGCCAGUGAGAUGUCCCUGUCUGUGGAUGUCAGCGGGAGCGUGGAGUCUGACGCCUUUCUCUGGUGGCUGUCCAGGAAGAUUGCCCCAGCUUGCACUCCCUUUUGGCGGGUUCCAGAGCCUUCCAUUUGAAAGGAGCAUCUCUCCCCACUCUGCCCCACCCAGCACCAGCUCUUCUGGAACCCACUGACUUCCUAAACACUUUCUUCCUGCUUCACCUCAUUGAAUUCAAGACUUGAGAAAACAGCCAAAAACUCUAGAGGUGGGGGUGGGUUCGAUCUGGAAAUCCCUGCUGUAAUCUUUUUAAGGGAAUCCACUGGAAAUUAUUAAUUUAUGUUUUAAAUAAAACCAUUCCUUACUUAACAGAA